rnacentral:rRNA from 1 species
CUCUGUGACUCCUACGGGAGGCAGCAGUGGGGAAUAUUGCACAAUGGGCGCAAGCCUGAUGCAGCAACGCCGUGUGAGUGAAGAAGGUUUCGGAUCGUAAAACUCUGUCCUAAGGGAAGAAACAAAUGACGGUACCUUAGGAGGAAGCCCCGGCUAACUACGUGCCAGCAGCCGCGGUAAUACGUAGGGGGCAAGCGUUAUCCGGAAUCACUGGGCGUAAAGGGUGCGUAGGCGGCUUGACAAGCCAGGGGUGAAAGGCAUUGGCUCAACCAAUGUAAGCCUUUGGAACUGUUAAGCUUGAGUGCAGGAGAGGUAAGUGGAAUUCCUAGUGUAGAGGUGAAAUUCGUAGAUAUUAGGAGGAACACCAGUGGCGAAGGCGACUUACUGGACUGUAACUGACGCUGAUGCACGAAAGCGUGGGUAGCGAACAGGAUUAGAUACCCUGGUAG